GGAUUAGAUACCCUGGUAGUCCCAGCCGUAAACGGUGUCGACUUGGUGUUGAGGGUAUUGACCCCCUCAGUGCCGGAGCCAACGCGUUAAGUCGACCGCCUGGGGAGUACGGCCGCAAGGCUAAAACUCAAAGAAAUUGACGGGGGCCCGCACAAGCGGAGGAGCAUGUGGCUUAAUUCGAUGCAACGCGAAGAACCUUACCAGGGCUUGACAUAGUGCUGCAAGCCACCCGAAAGGGAGGUCGCUUUCGAAGGUGCAUUACAGGUGCUGCAUGGCUGUCGUCAGCUCGUGCUG
rnacentral:rRNA from 1 species